UAUGAAGACAAAACCAUGUCCUGCAAGGACAUGAGAUCCUGUCAGAUCUCAGAGGCUAAGCAGGGCCAGGCCUGGUUAGUACUUGAAUGCGAGACAGCCUUGAAAGACCAAGGGCCAUUAGAC
rnacentral:rRNA from 12 species